UACGUAGGGUGCGAGCGUUAAUCGGAAUUACUGGGCGUAAAGCGUGCGCAGGCGGUUUUGUAAGCCAGAUGUGAAAUCCCCGGGCUCAACCUAGGAAUGGCAUUUGGGACUGCAAGGCUUGAGUGCGGCAGAGGAGACUGGAAUUCCUGGUGUAGCAGUGAAAUGCGUAGAUAUCAGGAGGAAUACCGAUGGCGAAGGCAGGUCUCUGGGCUGACACUGACGCUCAUGCACGAAAGCGUGGGGAGCAAACAGG
rnacentral:rRNA from 1 species